rnacentral:lncRNA from 1 species
CACUGCUGGCAACUAUUUUCUUGACAAAAUUCAGAAUAAACAAGACACGCUCCAUGUCAAUGAUCAAUCAAAAAACAUAUGGUGCAAUCCCCAGCAGCAAAAACCAGAAAACGAGAUGACAAAAGUUUCAUACCAGAGCAUUUAUAUUGUCAAUGAUCAAAUCUGAAUCACUUUGCUCAUCAGAUGAAUACCUAGCCUGUAGAGGCAGACAAAAAAGGAUGCAUCAAAUGAAAUGAAAAAAAAAUUACAGAUAAACCGCAAGCAAAGGAAUCACUCGUUGCAUCAUCUACUUACAAGCUGUCGGCAUUUACAGGUCCAUGCCGAUUGGCAGGUAAAUAUCAGAAUCUGAAUGACAUCCGUCGUUGUAAGAGCCGGGAUCGAUAUCAGACAUGAUGCCCAGCAAAAAAAAUAUCAGAACUCAUCAUGAACAAGCUAACAAUGAAAGCUUAUGAUAUAUUGUGAGCAAAGUCAGGAUAAAAAGCAUCGAGUGUAACUAGAAAAAUGUCCUAGCAGCUCAAAGUAAAAACCUGAAAACAGUGAGCAAAAAAUCAACUUACUAUGCUGGAAAAACAUACACUAACUAAAGCUAAGCACAAAAAUCCAAGGUCACAUCCAUUUGAGUAGAACUACCCAAUACCUAAGCAGUAUAUAACACAAAUUCAAAAGGGGAUUACAUAUCACAUUUGCAGAUGAAGGAUGCAGAUAUCCCCAAAACAAAAAAUGUAACCCUGUUAGUAACAUUAUACAAACCCUUCUACAGUAAUCAGCUACUUAAUGCCUGUUAGCUACCUUUACUUAUCAGAAUUAAACACAAACCUCCAACUUAACACAAACAACAUUACAAUAGGCAAAUUCAGCUUAGGAAGCUUGGCUUGCAACUGAAAAUGGAUCUAAACCCAAAACAUCAAAAAUAGUUGGCAGAUUCAGCUUAGGAAGCUUCAAUACACUACAACUAACAUAUCAUAAACACACAUGUAGCCCCUUGAGCUGUUGGCCCACAGCAAAAUCAUUCCUAUGAUGCCCAAAAUUCCCUAAUUCAUAGUACACACCAAAAAGCUAACAUUGCAUGACAGUAAUGCUAACAAAAUGUCAUCAGGGAACAUGUGGAAAUCAUGAAUCAUCAUCCUCCCCCACCCCCGAAUCAUAUACAUUACAGGCGGUACAUAUA